AGUGUUCACUGCGAUCCUUGAU
rnacentral:miRNA from 8 species